UACGUAGGGGGCAAGCGUUGUCCGGAUUUACUGGGCGUAAAGAGCGCGUAGGCGGAAGCUUAAGUGUGGCCUGAAAGCCCCCGGCUCAACCGGGGAAGGUGGCUGCAAACUGGGCUUCUUGAGGGCGAUAGAGGAGAGCGGAAUUCCUGGUGUAGCGGUGAAAUGCGUAGAUAUCAGGAGGAACACCGGUGGCGAAGGCGGCUCUCUGGGUCGGCCCUGACGCUGAGGCGCGAAAGCGUGGGGAGCGAACAGG
rnacentral:rRNA from 1 species